GUGAAUCAUCAAAUCUUUGAACGCAAAUUGCGCCUUUUUCGGAAGGCAUGUCUGUUUGAGGGCACCAUUUAACAAAUAAUGUGCAUUUCGUGUGCACACGUUGAUGAGCUUUCCAAAAUUAUGUAUUAUUAUUUUUGGUGGCGCAUAAUAAACAGCGUGAAAGUUUUUUUCGUUUGGAGUGUAGAAAAAUCUUUUCUGGGUUUUUGAAAAAAAUUAAUCUCGCAUGGGGUGUGGAAAUUCCUUUUUAUCC
rnacentral:misc_RNA from 1 species